rnacentral:rRNA from 1 species
GAUGAACGCUGGCGGCGUGCCUAAUACAUGCAAGUCGAACGAAACUUCUUUAUCACCGAGUGAUUGCACUCACCGAUAAAGAGUUGAGUGGCGAACGGGGGAGUAACACGUGGGCAACCUGCCCAAAAGAGGGGGAUAAAACUUGGAAACAGGUGCUAAUACCGCAUAACCAUAGUUACCGCAUGGUAACUAUGUAAAAGGUGGCUAUACUACCGCUUUUGGAUGGGCCCGCGGCGCAUUAGCUAGUUGGUAGGGUAAAGGCUUACCAAGGCAAUGAUGCGUAGCCGAAUUGAGAGGUUGAUCGGCCACAUUGGGACUGAGACACGGCCCAAACUCCUACGGGAGGCAGCAGUAGGGAAUCUUCCACAAUGGGCGAAAGCCUGAUGGAGCAACGCCGCGUGGGUGAAGAAGGUCCUCGGAUCGUAAAACCCUGUUGUUAGAGAAGAAAGUGCGUGAGAGUAACUGUUCACGUUUCGACGGUAUCUAACCAGAAAGCCACGGCUAACUACGUG